rnacentral:rRNA from 1 species
AGUAGUUUCGAUCCGUGGACUCAGGAGACGCUGGCGGCGUGCUUAACACAGUGCAAGUCGAACGGAAAGGCCCUUUCGGGGGUACUCGAGUGGCGAACGGGUGAGUAACACGUGGGUGAUCUGCCCUGCACUUCGGGAUAAGCUUGGGAAACUGGGUCUAAUACCGGAUAGGACCAUGCCAUGCAUGUGGUGUGGUGGAAAGCUUUUGCGGUGUGGGAUGGGCCCGCGGCCUAUCAGCUUGUUGGUGGGGUGAUGGCCUACCAAGGCGACGACGGGUAGCCGGCCUGAGAGGGUGUCCGGCCACACUGGGACUGAGAUACGGCCCAGACUCCUACGGGAGGCAGCAGUGGGGAAUAUUGCACAAUGGGCGCAAGCCUGAUGCAGCGACGCCGCGUGGGGGAUGACGGCCUUCGGGUUGUAAACCUCUUUCACCAUCGGCGAAGCCCAUGAUUUUUGUUGUGGGUGACGGUAGGUGGAGAAGAAGCACCGGCCAACUACGUG